AAAAAUCCCGAUGGAAACGGCCCCAAAACGGCCCCAAAGCGGCACCGAGACCGACGUGCGCUUCCCGCUGGGGAAAUCCUUCCUGGCGGUGAGAGGCAUCCCAUAAUAACCCCCAAAAAGGUCAUAAAAUAUCCCUAAAAAUAUCCCAAAAUAUCCCCAAAUAUCCUAAAAACCCAAAAACCCCCAAAAAUCCCAAAAAAUCCCGAUGGAAACGGCCCCAAACGGCCCCGGUUGAUUUUCCCGAUUUUGCCGAUUUCUGAUUUUCCAUUUUCCCGCUUUUUCCCCGAAUUUUCCUGAUUUUUUUGCCCAAAUUUCCCUUUUUUUUUUUCCUGAUUUUUCCCCUUUUUUCCAAAUUUCCCCUUUUUUCCGAUUUCCCCCAAUUUUCCCAAAUCUGCCAUCUUUAACCUUCUUUUUUUUUUUUUUAAUUUUGCUGCUUUUCCCAAUUUCCCCUGGAUUUUUUCCUGCCUUCCCCCCAAUUUCCCCCCCAAUUUUUUCCCAAUUUUUUUUCCCAAACUCGCCGUUUUUUCCCAAAAUCGCUGUUUUUCUCCCCAGAACCAGAAGCCGACGUCGGAGGAGAUCCUGCUGAUUUUCCCAAUUUUCCCCAAUUUUCCCCCAAUUUUUUCCCAAUUUUUCCCAAUUCCCCGUUUUCCCAAACUCGCCGUUUUUCCCAAACUCGCCGUUUUUCCCAAACUCGCUGUUUUUCUCCCCAGAACCAGAAGCCCACGUCGGAGGAGAUCCUGCUGAUUUUCCCAAUUUUCCCCAAUUUUCCCCCAAUUUUUUCCCAAUUUUUCCCAAUUCCCCGUUUUCCCAAACUCGCCGUUUUUCCCAAACUCGCCGUUUUUCCCAAACUCGCUGUUUUUCUCCCCAGAACCAGAAGCCCACGUCGGAGGAGAUCCUGCUGAUUUUCCCAAUUUUCCCCAAUUUUCCCCCAAUUUUUUCCCAAUUUUUCCCAAUUCCCCGUUUUCCCAAACUCGCCGUUUUUCCCAAACUCGCCGUUUUUCCCAAACUCGCUGUUUUUCUCCCCAGAACCAGAAGCCCACGUCGGAGGAGAUCCUGCUGAUUUUCCCAAUUUUCCCCAAUUU
rnacentral:lncRNA from 12 species